AUAGGGAGUUACGGGGGGAGGCACAAAGAGGGGUUGCUGUAGGGCACAGGGGGAUGCAGGUGGAGGCACAGAUUGGGGGUGCGACAGGGGUGUAACGGGGGUACAAAGGGACCGCGGGGGUGCCCCCCUCCCUCCCCGCCCCGGCUCACGAUGCGCUCCUUGCUGUGCUCGGGCUCGCAGAUCACCACGCUCUGCCCGCGGGCCCCUCCGCCCGCGCCGGGCCCCGCCGCGGCCCCGCCGGGCCUGCCGGGCCUGCGGGCCCGGGGCUGCCGUCCCGCGGCCGCCGCUCCCGGGGCGCCUCGUCCUCGCUGCUGCCGCCGCUGCUGCCGCCGCGCCGGGCCGGGGCCGCCGCCGGGCCCCGCCGCCGCCUCCCCGGGCCGCCGCCGCCCGCCCGGGCCCGGCCCCGCGCCGGGAGCCGCGUCCCACGGCGGCCCCGCCGCCUUCCUGCGGGGCAUCGCUGGGGGGGACACAGCGGGCGAAAGGUGCAGCAUAAAGAAAGCAACAACUCGGGGCCUUUGCACUAUUUUUGGUGGUGGUUCCUGUUGCAGGAAAAAAAAAAAAAAAGGAGAAAAGUCCCUUUAUUACAUCGAGGGAUUUUGCAGGAGGGGAACAUGUGGUGCCUUUGGAAUUUGUGAUGAAUUGGGAAUAUUUGACCAAUUUGCAAUAUUUGAUUGAUUUAAAAAAUGUAAUUUAUUGAAAAUAUUUGAUUAAUCCUCAA